UACGAAGGGGGCUAGCGUUGCUCGGAAUCACUGGGCGUAAAGGGUGCGUAGGCGGGUCUUUAAGUCAGGGGUGAAAUCCUGGAGCUCAACUCCAGAACGGCCUUUGAUACUGAGGAUCUUGAGUUCGGGAGAGGUGAGUGGAACUGCGAGUGUAGAGGUGAAAUUCGUAGAUAUUCGCAAGAACACCAGUGGCGAAGGCGGCUCACUGGCCCGAUACUGACGCUGAGGCACGAAAGCGUGGGGAGCAAACAGG
rnacentral:rRNA from 1 species